rnacentral:rRNA from 1 species
GGUUCGAUUCUGGCUCAGAUUGAACGCUGGCGGGAUGCUUUACACAUGCAAGUCGAACGGCAGCGAGCCGCGACUUCGGUCUGGUGGCGAGUGGCGAACGGGUGAGUAAUGUAUCGGAACGUGCCUAGUAGCGGGGGAUAACUACGCGAAAGCGUAGCUAAUACCGGAUACGCCCCCGGGGGAAAGCGGGGACCUUCGGGCCUCGCACUAUUAGGAGCGGCCGGAUAUCGGAUUAGCUAGUUGGUGGGGUAACGGCUCACCGCUGGCGACGAUCCGUAGCUGGUUUGAGAGGACGACCAGCCACACUGGGACUGGAGAUUACUGGCCCAGACUUACGGGAGGCAGCAGUGGGGAAUUUUGGACAAUGGGGAAACCCCGAUCCAGCCAUCCUGGCGUGUGCGAUGAAGGCCUUCGGGUUGUAAAGCACUUUUGGCAGGAAAGAAACGGCACGGGAUAAUACCCCGUGCAACUGACGGUACCUGCAGAAUAAGCACCGGCUAACUACGUGCCAGCAGCCGCGGUAAUACGUAGGAUGCGCGUUAAUCGGAAUUGAUUACAAAGCGCGUGCAGGCGGUUCGGAAAGAAAGAUGUGAAAUCCCAGAGCUUAACUUUGGAACUGCAUUUUUAACUACCGAGCUAGAGUGUGUCAGAGGAGGUGGAAUUCCGCGUGGUAGCAGUGAAAUGCGUAGAUAUGCGGAGGAACACCGAUGGCGAAGGCAGCCUCCUGGGAUAACACUGACGCUCAUACUGAAAGCGUGGGUGCCAAACAGGAUUAGACACCCUGGUAGUCCACGCCCUAAACGAUGUCAACUACGUUGGGGCCUCGGCCUUGGUAGCGCAGCUAACGCGUGAAGUUGACCGCCUGGGGAGUACGGUCGCAAGAUUAAAACUCAAAGGAAUUGAUUUGGACCCGCACAAGCGGUGGAUGAUGUGGAUUAAUUCGAUGCAACGCGAAAACCUUACCUACCCUUGACAUGUCUGGAAUCCCGAAGAGAUUUGGGAGUGCUCGCAAGAGAACCGGAACACAGGUGCUGCAUGGUUGUCGUCAGCUCGUGUCGUGAGAUGUUGGGUUAAGUCCCGCAACGAGCGCAACCCUUGUCAUUAGUUGCUACGAAAGGGCACUCUAAUGAGAUCAAGCCGGCAGACAAACCGGGAGGAAAAGGUGGGAUGACGUCAAGUCCUCAUGGCCUAUGGGUAGGGCUUCACACGUCAUACAAUGGUCGGGACAGAGGGCGUCGCCAACCCGCGAGGGGGAGCCAAUCCCAGAACCGAUCGUAGUCCGGAUCGUAGUUCGUAACCACACCGCGUGAAGUCGGAAUCGCUAGUAAUCGCGGAUCAGCAUGUCGCGGUGAAUACGUUCCCCGGUCUUGCACACACCGCCCGUCACACCAUGGGAGUGGGUUUUACCAGAAGUAGUUAGCCUAGCCGCGAGGGCGAUUACCACGGGUAGGAUUCAUGACUGGGGUGAAGUCGUAACAAGGUAGCCCCAUCACUACCUGAGCCCCA